UACGUAGGGUGCGAGCGUUGUCCGGAAUUAUUGGGCGUAAAGAGCUCGUAGGCGGUUUGUCGCGUCUGCUGUGAAAACUCGGGGCUUAACUCCGGGCCUGCAGUGGGUACGGGCAGACUAGAGUGCGGUAGGGGAGACUGGAAUUCCUGGUGUAGCGGUGAAAUGUGCAGAUAUCAGGAGGAACACCGGUGGCGAAGGCGGGUCUCUGGGCCGUAACUGACGCUGAGGAGCGAAAGCGUGGGGAGCGAACAGG
rnacentral:rRNA from 1 species